AAAGGACCGGCACAUCGGUAGCAGAAUCACGGCGCAAUUCAGAUUCAGGACCGCCGCACUUCCUCUUGAUAUGCACAAACCAAGCUGCGAACAAAUAUUUUAAAAAAGUAAAGGUUUGCUCUGAAAACUGAGAAUUGCCAGGAGCCUAGGACUGUCACAUAAAGAUGUAAACUCAUGUACGGGGCCUAGCCCACACAUCAAAAGGUGCAAAACAUCACUGGGGUUAUGUUUUAAAGUACGAUGUGUAUACGUUACUAUGGUAACGCUUCAUGGUCAAGAUGGUUUUGAAUGUCAUCAAAAGUCAAGACAUAUUUGGACUAUCAUCGACAAUUCUUCAUUAGUACGCGUUGCAAAAAUUGUGAUCCAUGGUGAUACUUUCGAAACAGUUAACGAAGUCACUCUCCUGUCAUUGGAUCUGAUAUUUGGCCUGCAGACCAAGUUAUUAUACAUAGCACUGGACAGGCCCAGAUUAAAAAAUGAACAGGGUGUGCAGUAUGGUCUAAUGACUGGUAUUAAAGCAUUAACUAAUAAAGAAAUUAGCCAUACUAUAUAAAUAUCAUUAUCAAUAUCCGUUUCGAUGUUAUCGCCUGUUGUACUUCUUCAAUUG